CUACGUAGCUCAGAGUUUGAUCCUGGCUCAGGAUGAACGCUGGCGGCGUGCCUAACACAUGCAAGUCGAACGAAGCACUUAUAUUUGAUCCUUCGGGUGACAACAUUUGUGACUGAGUGGCGGACGGGUGAGUAACGCGUGGGUAACCUGCCCUGUACAGGGGGAUAACAGCCAGAAAUGGCUGCUAAUACCGCAUAAGCGCACGAUGGUAGCAUUACCAGGUGUGAAAAACUCCGGUGGUACAGGAUGGGCCCGCGUCUGAUUAGCUUGUUGGCGGGGUAAAGGCCCACCAAGGCGACGAUCAGUAGCCGGUCUGAGAGGAUGAACGGCCACAUUGGAACUGAGACACGGUCCAA
rnacentral:rRNA from 1 species